UACUGACAUUUUAUAGGUCGCAAAGAACCCACAAAAAAAGCAUUCGGAGACAUACAAAGGGUAUAAUGAAGACAUAGACCAUGAAAAUGCAAGGGAAGCUGAAUCGCAACCCUCCAUCCGAGAUUUUCACUCGAGAGGUAUUCAUAGUCUAGCUAAAGGUGCACAAGAGAAUAUGAAUAUGAACGAGCGUGCACAUACUCCUAAGAGCCAGCGACAACCCGAGUCAACUUCAAUAAUGAUCCUUCCGCAGGUUCACCUACGGAAA
rnacentral:misc_RNA from 1 species